GCCGAUGUGGUGGAACUGGUAGACACGCAGGGUUUAGGUCUCUGUGCUUUCGAGCGUGCAGGUUCAAGUCCUGUCAUCGGCA
rfam:Aeromicrobium sp. Root472D3 contig_2, whole genome shotgun sequence.